rnacentral:rRNA from 1 species
GACGAACGCUGGCGGCGUGCUUAACACAUGCAAGUCGAGCGGUAAGGCCCUUUCGGGGGUACACGAGCGGCGAACGGGUGAGUAACACGUGGGUAAUCUACCUUCGAGUGGGGAACAACAUCGGGAAACUGGUGCUAAUUCCGCAUGACCAUCGUCGGGGCUUCGGUUCUGACGAUCAAAGCUGGGGAUCGUAAGACCUAGCGCUUGAAGAUGAGCCCGCGUCCGAUUAGCUAGUUGGCGGGGUAAUGGCCCACCAAGGCUCCGAUCGGUAGCCGGCCUGAGAGGGCGGACGGCCACACUGGAACUGAGACACGGUCCAGACUCCUACGGGAGGCAGCAGUGGGGAAUUUUUCGCAAUGGGGGCAACCCUGACGAAGCAACGCCGCGUGGGGAUGACGGCCUGG